rnacentral:rRNA from 1 species
CAGAGGGUGCAAGCGUUAAUCGGAUUUACUGGGCGUAAAGCGUGUGUAGGUGGUUGGGAAAGUCAAUUGUGAAAUCCCCGGGCUUAACUCGGGAACUGCUUUUGAUACUGUCUGACUAGAAUUCGGUAGAGGGAGGCGGAACUCCAGGUGUAGCGGUGAAAUGCGUAGAUAUCCGGAAGAACACCAAUGGCGAAGGCAACCUCCUGGGCCUGAAUUGACACUGAGACACGAGAGCGUGGGGAUCAAACAGGAUUAGAUACCCUGGUAGUCCACGCCGUAAACGAUGACAACUUGACGUCGGUUUGCUCUGCGAAUCGGUGUCGUAGCUAACGCGAUAAGUUGUCCGCCUGGGGAGUACGGCCGCAAGGUUG